rnacentral:snRNA from 1 species
AGCUUUGCACAGUGGUAGUAUCAUAGUUAAUGAUGUUUAUCUGAGGUGUAAUUAUUGCUAAUUGAAAACUUUUCCCAGUGGCAAC